GAUGAACGCUGGCGGCGUGCUUAACACAUGCAAGUCGAACGGAAAGGCUCCUGCUUGCAGGGGUACUCGAGUGGCGAACGGGUGAGUAACACGUGGGUGAUCUGCCCUGCACUUCGGGAUAAGCCUGGGAAACUGGGUCUAAUACCGGAUAGGACCACAUUUUGGAUGGUGUGGUGGAAAGUUUUUCGGUGUGGGAUGAGCUCGCGGCCUAUCAGCUUGUUGGUGGGGUAAUGGCCUACCAAGGCGUCGACGGGCAGCCGGCCUGAGAGGGUGUACGGCCACAUUGGGACUGAGAUACGGCCCAGACUCCUACGGGAGGCAGCAGUGGGGAAUAUUGCACAAUGGGCGCAAGCCUGAUGCAGCGACGCCGCGUGGGGGAUGACGGCCUUCGGGUUGUAAACUCCUUUCGCUAGGGACGAAGCGCAAGUGACGGUACCUGGAGAAGAAGCACCGGCUAACUACGUG
rnacentral:rRNA from 1 species